CUGGGUGUAGUUCAGUGAAAGAGGGUGUGUUUACCAAGAACAAGGCCCUGGGUUCAAUCCUCAGCACUAAAA
rnacentral:tRNA from 1 species